rnacentral:lncRNA from 1 species
GGAAGUUUGAGAUACUCCCAUGUAACAAUAGGGUUUCUGUGAUAUUUAGUUGUGCCCUUUGGGGGAAUGAGAGAUUCCUUUGAGAGAAUGUAUGUAGCAGGCCACUCCUCCUUCCAUCCCCAAUGGGCUUUGGGAUAGGUAUAAAAACACCACCACCCCCUUCUGCAUCAGGACCAGUUGAAGUGCAAUAUCGACACCUUUACGGUACAAUUCAGGAUCCAGACUCUAACCUCAAGGCAUGUUGACCAGGAAUUUUCUCAUCCUCUGCUCUCUGGCAGCUGUGCUAGUACAAGCUGACCUUGAUACUAAUAGCAAUCGUGCUUCCCAAGCCAUUUCCACAGAUAAGGACUCAACCUCGGAUGAAGCACCAACUGAGAGCAUGAAUGCCAUCUCCUCGGACCAGUCUAACCAUAAGAUCUAAACCAGGCCAGAACUUGUCCGUGUAGACCAAUUUGGGUUUCCAAUCUCUCCAAAAGAAUGUUGGGAUCGAUGGUAUCAAAAGCAGCACUAAGAUCUAGGAGCACGAGGACAGAUGCAGAGCCUCGGUCUGACAUCAUUUAAAGAUGUAAGCCGCACAAGUGUAGAAGUUGGACAAGAUGCUUCUAAACCGAACGGGGUGACUGGACCUGGUAGGUGUCUUUUUGAUAUGUGUGGCACGGCAAACAGUGUUGAGGACCGUGAAGAGAAUGAGAGCUCCGAUGAAGGUGUGAGAAAAAGAAUCGUUCCUCCACCUCCUCCUCCUGCUGCUCCACAACAAAGGUCACGGAAGUUAGUUGGGCCAGCAGGUGGUAACCGAAGAAAGGCAGCAGCACCAAAACAGAAGAGGAGAUCACGGCCCUCUCGUCAUCAAUCCUGAAACGCCACAAAGACACACAAAGGCAAACAUUUAAUUUUAGUGAUUACGUAGAAAAAACCCAUGUUGUAUCUUAUUACUGUCUAUGCCAUAACAUGGACGUGUACAGAACCGUACGCACAUGAUGAAACUGUUUUGCUGUAUCUUGGGCUGUAAAACAAAGUCAGCAUGACAUGGCAUAUUGUUUACUUUAACACCUGUGGAACAACUCAGUGGUAGGUUCAACACAAACUCAUGGGCCUUUCUCUGUGAAUAAAAUAUACCAUUGCAUUUACCAUUUAAUGUGAUGACAUGACAACAGGCCCAAAAACACCAGUCUGAGACCAGUUCACGCAUCCAUUAAAAUCCAGGAUGAGGCAUGCUUUUUGCAGCAUCAUGACUUGACACUGACCUUAAGAGCCAAUGAAACUGCUCUAAAUUCACCAACCUGUUUCAAAAUGGAAAGGAUUUCACUCCCAUGAAAAUAAACUAAGCAACAACAAAAACAUCCUCUCACUGUCAACUGCGUUUAUUUUCAGCAAACUUAACAUGUGUAAAUAUUUGUAUGAACAUAACAAGAUUCAACAACUGAGACAUAAACUGAACAAGUUCCACAGACAUGUGACUAACAGAAAUGGAAUAAUGUGUCCUUGAACAAACGGGGGUCAAAAUCAAAAGUAACAGUCAGUAUCUGGUGUGGCCACCAGCUGCAUUAAGUACUGCGGUG